GGCAGGACGGCAGCUUCGCGUGUUCACAGAUCACAGUCGAGAGCAGAUCAAACGAGUAAAGUCGUCUUUAGUGUUAGUCUACAGGCAACGUUACUAAUAUUUCUGUCUAAUUGAGUAACUGUGUGUGUAAGUUUUUACAGUCAACUUAAUCUGCAGCAAUUUUUCAUUGUUCAGUUGACCAGCUUAUUUCCAAAUCAACUAAGUGAAGAUAAAGUUCAGUCAUGGUUGGAAGAAGAAGAGGUAAUGCUGUCAAAGAAGUUUCAAAAACAACAACCAAGGUAUUUGGUACAAAAAGUACUGCGGCAGAAAAAUAUGUGGUUGAAAAAGUGGUGGAUAAAAGGAAAACAAAAGGUACUACCCAGUAUCUUUUGAAGUGGAAAGGGUAUGAUGACAGUGAUAAUACUUGGGAAGAAGAAGAAAACAUGAAUUGUCCCGAAUUAGUUGCUGAAUUUGAAAAUCAACCAAAAAAGAAGAAGAAGAUGGAUAAAGAAGAAGAAUAUUCUGUUGAGAAAGUGAUGGAUCGAAGAGUGCAGAAAGGUAAAGUUCAGUACCUGCUAAAAUGGAAAGGCUAUGGCCAUAAUGACAAUACUUGGGAAAAUGAAGAAGACAUGGAUUGUCCUGGCUUGAUUGCAGCAUUUGAAAAUCAGACAUCAAAAGAUGCUGAAAAUGAGUUCUCAGUUGAAAAAAUUAUGGAUAAAAGAGUCAGAAAAGGCAAAGUGGAGUAUCUUCUGAAAUGGAAAGGCUAUGCUCAUAGUGAAAAUACCUGGGAAAGUGAGGAAAACAUGGGUUGCCCUGAUUUGAUGGCAGAAUUUGAAAAUAAGAAGAAAAAGGAAGGAAAAGCCUGAAUUUGGUCCGGCUGCUACAAUUUUUACACAAAUAAAUAUGAUAACUAUUCGGUUUGAUGUGGUUAGGGCAUAAGGAAGACAGCAGAGGUAUCCAAAAUAUUUCUUUGUGUUAUAACCUCAUGCCUUAAUUUAUAACUUGAAAUUGUUUUUAUUUUUGAUCAUUAUCAUCCAUCUCUGUUCUUUGUUCAUCGACUUACAUUAAUGUAAUGCGGUUGUCAUGCCUCAUGUGUUCCUUAAGAAAAAAACCAAGUUUCAUUUCUUUUCUUGAAUUAUCCUUGCAUACCCAGAAAUACAAGGCCUGUGUUUAUAAAUUUUUA